UAUGUUGGAUUUCUUGUAAAAAUGGGAAAUAGCUUGAAAAUAUUCAUGAGGAACUAAAAAUUGUUCUGAUGAGUUCACUUCCCCUGCAUAUGAAGAGCAGUUUCACAGUGAUGUUUUAUAGAGAUGUCUGGGCCUGAAUUUUUUCUGAUUUUACUGUUCAAGCCUUGCCUUUGUAUCUCAAGUGUUUUGUCCUGGAAUCUCACCGUGAUUCCUGAAGCUGUGCCUCGCAGGGAGGGUAAUGGAGACAAGUGGCUUGUGAGGAAGCUCAGGCCCAGGUCCCUGAGGUGUUUGGAUUUUAGGACUCAGAGCCUGGUGCAGAUUGAAGAGUGAUGUAAUUCUUCAGGCGCCGCUGAAAGAGUUUGAAACACCAAUGCAAUAAGAGGCGUCAGCGGGGAAUGGCAGAUUGAUUGCAACAACUAAUGCCAAAAAGUUCUGGAAAGAAGAAAAAUGUAGUCUGAUGAAAAGAAAUAAAGAAGAAAGGAGGGAAAGGAUAGUAAGAGCUUUCACGCCUCCGGCAACCUCCCUGUGGAUCGAUGUGCAUCGGGGACUAUUAAUCCUAUGACUGUUUUUUUACACUGGUGUGUAAACCUUGAUGAUGCCGUUCAGUCCAGAUCAGCAGGUUGGAUUGACAGGAUCUACCCUAAAAAUCAACUUUACUGAAAUUUGAGUGGAUUGAUGAAGCUCGUCUUUUGGAUCAGUGGAAGGCCACCACCUCCAGAUGAGAGAUCGCCCAUCAAUUUAGGGUAGGAAGGACCAUUCUCUCCUGAAGUGAUUAUUACUUCCUCAGAUAUGGAGCACAGACUGGACACAUGGUGUUGGUGUGGCUGAAGCAAUAUAGGCAACAUGGACUUCCAUGAACUUGGGAUGACAGGUACAAACCCAGGACUGGCAAUAGGUCAGAACACAACAAGGCUACAAUGGGGAGUGCUCACAGCAAGUUUGGAUCAUGAAAUAUAAAGCCCUCCUGCAGAGACAAGGCAGAUGGAAUAGCUGUGCUUUUUGUAAUAAAACACAUCAUCCGAUUCACAUUUCUAUCAUCAGGCUGUUUUUUGGUUUCGUUUGUAAUUUGCAUUAAACAUCCUGAGUUGAGCCUGGAUUUCAUUGACGUAAAUAGACUAAUUUUUUUAAUGACCUUCACCUGCUGGUUAUAUACCAGUCUCUUAGGUCCAAAAGGGAUUUGAGGAUAAAGGAAAAUAUAAAACCAAAGCAAAUCAAAAGAACAAGCCUAACUGGAUUAAAAUAAAUAAGCCUAUAUAUACUGUCCUCAAUUAUUGACAACUCUUUGGAUUGUUACUUCUGAAUUGAAGUUGACAUGCCUGCAUUUGAUGCACUAAAGCAGUUUAAAGCUGAUACAGAAAUUUAGGGGCUCAACUCCUUUCUUAACAUAAAACUAGAGUGUUUUGAUAUGUUGGAACUGGGGCAAUUAGUAAUGAUACAUUUGCUGACAGGUCUUGAGCAGGAACAAUCACAAACACUGUGCACCCAGUACAAGAUUUAUUUGUCAGAGUGCAUGCUUUUUAAAUCUGAGUAAAAAUGGAUUUUGUAAACUGAUUGAGAUUAAUUAAAGGUAUAACUCAGGGAAGGAAAAAAAAUGACUCACUGCACAUUUAUUUUCAGAUCAUUUUUCACUGGAAAGUUUGCAGGUCUAACGAGCAGAAGCUACUGACACAGUGUGCAAAUGGUUCUGCUUUCACAUCACAGGAGAGGGAUUUUUUUCUCAUUUUUCUUUCCUUGGCUUGUCUGAAAGCCAGG